AGUGAACGCUGGCGGUAGGCCUAACACAUGCAAGUCGAACGGCAGCACAGUAAGAGCUUGCUCUUACGGGUGGCGAGUGGCGGACGGGUGAGGAAUACAUCGGAAUCUACUUUUUCGUGGGGGAUAACGUAGGGAAACUUACGCUAAUACCGCAUACGACCUACGGGUGAAAGCAGGGGAUCUUCGGACCUUGCGCGAUUGAAUGAGCCGAUGUCGGAUUAGCUAGUUGGCGGGGUAAAGGCCCACCAAGGCGACGAUCCGUAGCUGGUCUGAGAGGAUGAUCGGCCACACUGAAACGAAGACACGGUCCAGACCCCCAGGGGGGGCCGAAGUGGGGAAUUUUGGACAAUGGGGCCAGCCCUAACCCCCCCAUCCCCGGGGGGUAAAGAAGGCCUUCGGUUUGUAAACCCCUUUUUUUGGGAAAAAAAAGCAGCAGUUUAAUCCCCCGCUUUUCUGACGGUCCCCAAAAAAUAAGCACCGGCUAACUUCGU
rnacentral:rRNA from 1 species